CCUUCGAUGGCUCAGUUGGUAGAGCGGGGGACUGUAGAUUUAUAAUUGUGAUCCCUAGGUCGCUGGUUCGAAUCCGGCUCGAAGGA
rnacentral:tRNA from 2 species